rnacentral:lncRNA from 1 species
CGGGUGGGGGCUGCGGGCGGGUCGGGGCCGGGCAUAAAGGCGGUGCGGCCUUACCUCCGACCCUGUACAUGUUGGCGGCCAUGUCCGGGCCGGCGGCGGCGGAGGGGCCCGGGGCGGGCGCGGCGCUCGGCGCGGGCGGCCGGGAAAAUGGAGGCGCGAUGGCGGGGGCGGGGGGCGCCGCAGGCGUUUAAAGGGGCCGCGCUGCUGCCGCCGCCGCCGCCGCCGCCGCCGAGGCCGCCGAGGCCGCGCAGGGACGGGAGGGCCGCGGCGCGGGCGGGAGAGGAAGAGGAGGAGCGGCCGCGGGCGGCGGGGAGGGGCCUCGGGCGCCGCCGCCCACCGCACGGGCCGUUACCGACCCCGCACCGCCCGCGGCCCGCGCUCCCCUUCCCGGGCAGUUCCUCUCGGCGCCCCCGAGUCCUCCCCGCGCGCCGCUUCCCGGGUGGGCCCUUCCACCAGAACCCCCUGGUAGAUCCUCCCCUAGUGCCCUGGGGGUAGAGGGGAGAUCCUCUACAAGGGUCGUUUCCCUGGUGAUCCCUCCCUGUGCCCCACAGUCUAAGGAGAGGAGAGUCCAGUGACCCAGACGCCCCAGCCAGGAAGAGCAUGAGGUGGGAAGGGGGCUUCCCAGAUGGAGAGAAACAGAUGGUCCCAGAGUGGCUUGGAGACAGGUGCAACAUCAGUGUUGGGGGAGACAUGGAGCGGAGCGUUCAGGGCUAUCAGGAGGGAGCCCCGUGGCCACGGUGCAAGAUCUAGGCAGGUGGGACAGACAUGGUCAGGAUGCUGGGGACACAGCAUGGGGAAUCCAGCACACAGGACACCAUCCACAGGAAAGCAAAGCUGCGGCCUGAGAUCUCCUUCCACCAACUCCUGGCAUGGCCAGAAAGUUAGCCAGAAACACCAGAAAGUGCCAGGCAGCUAGGAAGCAUGGGGAGAGCCCCUCGAAGCUGCGUGUGUAGUGCCUGCUUCCGCUGCCAUCCCAGAAAUGGACGAGCUUCACCCUGAAAUCCAGCCACGCCACUGGGACACAUCCUGACAGUGACAUGCACACUCUUCCCUGGCCCCAGCCUGGAGAGGAGCCUCCUGAAGACACCAGCCUUUGCUCCUUCUCCCAGUGGGAGUGGAGAGAACUGACUGCUGGAGUGGAGACAGUCAAGGCUGUCCUUCUGAGGGAGCACAGCACAGGGUCUGGUGUCCCAGGGAGGCAAUCUGAAAUUCAAGCCAGGCCUCCCCAGCGGAGAGGACACACCCCUCACCAUGCAGAGUGACGUUUAGUAAACUCUCAAAAGAGAGCACAGAGCCCCGCUCCUCCAGCCGACCCCUACUCUGCCUCCCCACUCCAGACCACUGAAAAAGGUGGAUUACCCUUAAGCCAGCUCAGAGGCAAAGUCCAAAGACCUCAGGUGAGUCAAACAAUAAAAACAAAGAAUUAAGAAGAAUCCAGCCGGGUGCGGUGGCUCACGCCUGUAAUCCCAGCACUUUGGGAGGCUGAGGCGGGAGGAUCACGAGCAGGAGAUCGAGACCAUCCUGGCUAACACGGUGAAACCCCGUCUCUACUAAAAAUAGAAAAAAUUAGCUGGGCGUGGUGGCGGGCGCCUGUAGUCCCAGCUACUCCGGAGGCUGAGGCAGAAGAAUGGCGUGAACCCAGGAAGCGGAGCUUGCAGUGAGCCGAGAUCGUGCCACUGCACUCCAGCCUGGGCGACAGAGCAAGACUCUGUCUCCAAAAAAAAAAAAAAAAAAAAAAUCCAUCCACUCCAUCCACUUAGUAGCAGAGCGAAUAGACAUUCAGGAAAGAGCUUUCACGUCAGAAAGCACUACAGAAGUAGUGGCAUAUCCCCGGAGGCUGAGGUGGGAACAUUGCUGAGAGGUGGCACGUGACCACAUCCAUGUCAUUCAACAGAAAAACAAGUCAGCGAGGGUGUGAGGGGCCGGUGAGAAACCCAGUAUGGAAGAAAACACAACUGGGCUGAGCGUGGUGGCUCACGCCCGUAAUCCCAACACUUUGGGAAGCCAAGGCAGGAGGAUCACCUGAGGUCAGGAGUUUGAGACCAGCCUGGUCAACAUAGUGAAACCUCAUCUCUACUAAAAAUACAAAAAAAUUAGCUGGGUGUGGUAGCGCGUGCCUGUAGUCCCAGCUACUCAGGAGGCUGAGGCAGGAGAAUUGCAUGAACCCAGGAGCCGAGACCACACCACUGCACUCCAGCCUGGGGGCGGCACAGUGAGACUCCGUCUCAAAGAAACAAAAAUAAAAAAUAAAUAAAUAAAUAAGAAAACGCAACCAAAGAAACAGAAGAGGACUCCACAGGACUGCUUUCAGAGCUUCAUAGCAGCAUGAAUUCAACAAUCAGGAAUUCAAAUGCUUGACGACAAAACAGCAGGAUGGGAGGAAGAGUUAAGAGCCAAGCAAACCGGAAGCACCAAAAUCGCACCGUGGCUGGAUUAAGUCAAAAACAGCAAAGAGCAGAAUAUCAAGUUACUCGGAGAUGAAAGGCUUGAGAUAAUUUCAGAGCAAGACAAAGUGAUUAACACAAUAAUUUACUCAUUUAUUAUUUGUUAAACACCUACUUCAAGCUACAGGCCACUCUAGGCCUUGGAGGGUAAGGAAACAGCGCCUUUGCCCUCAGAGGGUUUGCAAUCUAGCAGGGAGGGGAACAUAAUAAAGUGUAUAAAACCAGGGCUCUGGCUCUGAAAUUCCAGCACUUUGGGCAGGUCACUUGAACCCAGGAGUUUGAGACCAGCCG